AGCAGCCGCGGUAAUUCCAGCUCCAAUAGCGUAUAUUAAAGUUGUUGCAGUUAAAAAGCUCGUAGUUGAAUUUCGGGGUUAGCAGGUCGGUCGUGCCAUCGGUAUGAACUGGUCUCGCUGAUCCCUCCCUCUUGACGAACUGUGAUGCCAUUAAUUUGGUGUCGCAGGGAAUCAGGACUGUUACUUUGAAAAAAUUAGAGUGUUUAAAGCAGGCUCACGCUUGAAUACAUUAGCAUGGAAUAAUGAAAUAGGACGUUUGAUCCUAUUUUGUUGGUUUCUAGGAUUGACGUAAUGAUUAAUAGGGAUAGUUGGGGGCAUUAGUAUUCAAUUGUCAGAGGUGAAAUUCUUGGAUUUAUUGAAGACUAACUACUGCGAAAGCAUUUGCCAAGGAUGUUUUCAUUAAUCAAGAACGAAAGUUAGGGGAUCGAAGACGAUCAGAUACCGUCGUAGUCUUAACCAUAAACUAUGCCGACUAGGGAUCGGAUGAUGUUAAUUUUUAAUGUACUCAUUC
rnacentral:rRNA from 1 species